rnacentral:rRNA from 1 species
UACGUAGGGCGCAAGCGUUGUCCGGAAUCAUUGGGCGUAAAGAGCUCGUAGGCGGUCUGUUACGUCCGCUGUGAAAACCCAGGGCUUAACCCUGGGCUUGCAGUGGAUACGGGCAGACUAGAGGCAGGUAGGGGAGAAUGGAAUUCCCGGUGUAGCGGUGAAAUGCGCAGAUAUCGGGAGGAACACCGGUGGCGAAGGCGGUUCUCUGGGCCUGACCUGACGCUGAGGAGCGAAAGCGUGGGGAGCGAACAGG